AGUGAACGCUGGCGGCAGGCCUAACACAUGCAAGUCGAACGGCAGCACAGGGGAGCUUGCUCCCUGGGUGGCGAGUGGCGGACGGGUGAGGAAUACAUCGGAAUCUACCCUUUCGUGGGGGAUAACGUAGGGAAACUUACGCUAAUACCGCAUACGAUCUGAGGAUGAAAGCAGGGGACCGCAAGGCCUUGCGCGAUUGGAUGAGCCGAUGUCCGAUUAGCUAGUUGGCGGGGUAAAGGCCCACCAAGGCGACGAUCGGUAGCUGGUCUGAGAGGAUGAUCAGCCACACUGGAACUGAGACACGGUCCAGACUCCUACGGGAGGCAGCAGUGGGGAAUAUUGGACAAUGGGCGCAAGCCUGAUCCAGCCAUGCCGCGUGUGUGAAGAAGGCCUUCGGGUUGUAAAGCACUUUUGUUGGGAAAGAAAUCCUGUCGGCUAAUACCCGGCGGGGAUGACGGUACCCAAAGAAUAAGCACCGGCUAACUUCGUGCCAGCCGCCGCAGUAA
rnacentral:rRNA from 1 species